rnacentral:rRNA from 1 species
CCUACGGGAGGCAGCAGUGGGGAAUCUUGCACAAUGGAGGAAACUCUGAUGCAGCGAUGCCGCGUGAGUGAAGAAGGCCUUUGGGUUGUAAAGCUCUUUCGUCGGGGAAGAAAAUGACUGUACCCGAAUAAGAAGGUCCGGCUAACUUCGUGCCAGCAGCCGCGGUAAUACGAAGGGACCUAGCGUAGUUCGGAAUUACUGGGCUUAAAGAGUUCGUAGGUGGUUGAAAAAGUUGGUGGUGAAAUCCCAGAGCUUAACUCUGGAACUGCCAUCAAAACUUUUCAGCUAGAGUAUGAUAGAGGAAAGCAGAAUUUCUAGUGUAGAGGUGAAAUUCGUAGAUAUUAGAAAGAAUACCAAUUGCGAAGGCAGCUUUCUGGAUCAUUACUGACACUGAGGAACGAAAGCAUGGGUAGCGAAGAGGAUUAGAUACCCUCGUAGUCCAUGCCGUAAACGAUGUGUGUUAGACGUUGGAAAUUUAUUUUCAGUGUCGCAGGGAAACCGAUAAACAUACCGCCUGGGGAGUACGACCGCAAGGUUAAAACUCAAAGGAAUUGACGGGG